AUGGUUGUCGUCAGCUCGUGUCGUGAGAUGUUGGGUUAAGUCCCGCAACGAGCGCAACCCUUAUCUUUAGUUGCCAUCAUUAGGUUGGGCACUCUAGAGAGACUGCCGGUGACAAACCGGAGGAAGGUGGGAUGACGUCAAAUCAUCAUGCCCCUUAUGAUUUGGCUACACACGUGCUACAAUGGAUGGUACAAAGGGUAGCAAACCGCGAGGUCAAGCAAAUCCCAUAAAACCAUUCUCAGCUCGGAUUGUAGUCUGCAACUCGACUACAUGAAGCUGGAAUCGCUAGUAAUCGUAGAUCAGCAUGCUACGGUGAAUACGUUCCCGGGUCUU
rnacentral:rRNA from 1 species